rnacentral:rRNA from 1 species
CCUACGGGAGGCAGCAGUGGGGAAUUUUGGACAAUGGGCGCAAGCCUGAUCCAGCCAUGCCGCGUGAGUGAAGAAGGCCUUCGGGUUGUAAAGCUCUUUCGGCCGGGAAGAAAUCGCAUUGGUUAAUACCUGGUGUGGAUGACGGUACCGGAAUAAGAAGCACCGGCUAACUACGUGCCAGCAGCCGCGGUAAUACGUAGGGUGCGAGCGUUAAUCGGAAUUACUGGGCGUAAAGCGUGCGCAGGCGGUUUUGUAAGACAGGCGUGAAAUCCCCGGGCUCAACCUGGGAACUGCGCUUGUGACUGCAAGGCUAGAGUACGGCAGAGGGGGGUGGAAUUCCACGUGUAGCAGUGAAAUGCGUAGAGAUGUGGAGGAACACCAAUGGCGAAGGCAGCCCCCUGGGUCGAUACUGACGCUCAUGCACGAAAGCGUGGGUAGCAAACAGGAUUAGAUACCCUGGUAGUCCACGCCCUAAACGAUGUCAACUAGGUGUUGGGAGGGUAAAACCUUUUAGUACCGGAGCUAACGCGUGGAGUUGACCGCCUGGGGAGUACGGCCGCAAGGUUAAAACUCAAAGGAAUUGACGGGGACCCGCACAAGCGGUGGAUGAUGUGGAUUAAUUCGAUGCAACGCGAAAAACCUUACCUACCCUUGACAUGUCAGGAAGUCUUGAGAGAUUGAGAUGUGCCCGAAAGGGAACCUGAACACAGGUGCUGCAUGGCUGUCGUCAGCUCGUGUCGUGAGAUGUUGGGUUAAGUCCCGCAACGAGCGCAACCCUUGUCGUUAAUUGCCAUCAUUUAGUUGGGCACUUUAGCGAGACUGCCGGUGACAAACCGGAGGAAGGUGGGGAUGACGUCAAGUCCUCAUGGCCCUUAUGGGUAGGGCUUCACACGUCAUACAAUGGUCGGUACAAAGGGUCGCCAACCCGCGAGGGGGAGCCAAUCCCAGAAAGCCGAUCGUAGUCCGGAUUGCAGGCUGCAACUCGCCUGCAUGAAGUCGGAAUCGCUAGUAAUCGUGGAUCAGCAUGUCACGGUG